AACGAACGCUGGCGGCAUGCCUAACACAUGCAAGUCGAACGAGACCUUCGGGUCUAGUGGCGCACGGGUGCGUAACGCGUGGGAACCUGCCCUUAGGUUCGGAAUAACUCCCCGAAAGGGGUGCUAAUACCGGAUAAUGUCUUCGGCCCAAAGAUUUAUCGCCUUUGGUUGGGCCCGCGUUGGAUUAGCUAGUUGGUAGGGUAAAAGCAUACCAAGGCGAGGAUCCAUAGCUGGUCUGAGAGGAUGAUCAGCCACACUGGGACUGAGACACGGCCCAGACUCCUACGGGAGGCAGCAGUGGGGAAUAUUGGACAAUGGGCGAAAGCCUGAUCCAGCAAUGCCGCGUGAGUGAUGAAGGCCUUAGGGUUGUAAAGCUCUUUUACCCGGGAUGAUAAUGACAGUACCGGGAGAAUAAGCUCCGGCUAACUCCGUG
rnacentral:rRNA from 1 species